rnacentral:lncRNA from 1 species
AGAACAUCAAAAAUGUUAGAAAGAGAGGUUCAAAUCACAAACACAAACUCAGAGGAGUUAACACUACAAAUCACGAAUCUUAUGCGAAAUUCUGACAACGUCACGCUAGGAUUCAAGUUGGAUGGGAACAAUUAUGCCCUAUGGGCUCGCCUCAUGAAGGUGGCAAUAGGGAGCAGAGGCAAGUCGAGCCAUAUCACCGGACAACCACCGCCACCAAAAUCGACGGAUCCCGAUUAUUACAAAUGGGAGGAAUCGGAUCUGUCAGUUUUCUCAUGGUUAAUACAAAACAUGGAAGGCAAGUUGAUAAUCAAUUUCGCCCAACAUCAGACGGCAAAAGCCGUCUGGGAUAGCCUGGCUGUAACGUACGGGAGUGGAACCGCUGACCCACUUCAAAUUUACGACCUGGAAGUGAGAGCCAACAAGGUCAAUCAAGGGCAACUAACCUUGGAAGACUACUGGAGUAAUCUACAGACCAUUUGGCUCAAUAUUGAUCGAAGAGAGCCCAAUCCUAUCGGCUGUUGCGAGGAAGGAAUCUCAAAGUACCGGAAAUUAAUCGAAAAUCGCCGCCUCUAUCAAUUUCUUUCCGGAUUAAAUGCGAAGUAUGACGGAAUCCGGCGAGAUAUCCUUAAGGAAUCUCCCUCUCCCUCAGCCGAGUCGGCAUUUUCGAAAGUACGGAGGGAGGCCGCCCGGCUUCUGAUCUUACAGCCGGCAACUUUCCCCACCGACUCUGAAGUUACAUCAUCGGGAGGAAUCGGCGUUGGCCUCACCACCUCUCGACCUCCUUUCUCACGGCCGGAAGGAGCCCAACAACAGAACACCACCGCAAGAUCACAGACAUACCAAACCGACGCCCCAUCAUCGCGAAAGAAGGUAGACAAAUCGAAACUCCAUUGUAGUCACUGUGGGAUGCAGCGACAUACGAAGGAGAUGUGCUUUCGGCUCGUCGGAUAUCCCGAUUGGUGGGAAGAUAACCGGAAAAAUGCGAAGGGAAAGUCGGCGAUCGGUGUGGAGACGGCGGAGAUCGCCGGAUCGGCGGUGGCGGUGAGCAACGGCCUUCAACAGACGAGAGAGAAGGAGGGAGUGGCUGGAAGAGGAGAGGCGUCGCAAGCCUCAAUUGACCGAAAAUUUCUUGAAGAGGAGCCCCAAGAUCGAGAAUAUGGGUGGAUGAGAGAGAAAGAAGGGAUUUCUGGAAGAGGAGAGGCGGCUACCUCCAUUGACCGAAAAUUAUUAGGUAAAGGGUUUGGUGGAUUUCCACUAAACCCUCCCACUUCUCCUUUAUUACAAAAUAAACCCCACUUUAAUUCCUUUAGUUUGGGGGAAUUAUCAAAUGCACCCAAACUUUCCCAUAAUUCGAAAAUUAGCCCCCAUUUAUGUGGAAAAUCCAUAGAUACCUCUAUUGCUUACCAAGUCACAAAUAAAAACAAAGACAGAGAUAUAGGAUGGAUUUUUGAUUGUGGAGCCACUGAUACAAUGACCUUUGAUAAAAAUGAUAUUAUCGAGUCAUCAAAAUCCUCUAGAACUCAUGUUCAAACGGCCAGUGGUGACUUAACUCGGGUUGAAGGAGCAGGAACAAUAGAGAUGUCUCCCACUUUAAAACUUUCAAAUUGUCUAUAUGUCCCGU